AUAGCAGCUGGAAACGGCUGGUAGUACCGCAUAAGACCACGGCCCCGCAUGGGGCUGUAGUAAAAGAUUUAUCGGUGUGAGAUGGAUCCGCGUCUGAUUAGCCAGUUGGCGGGGUAACGGCCCACCAAAGCGCCGAUCAGUAGCCGGCCUGAGAGGGUGAACGGCCACAUUGGGACUGAGACACGGCCCAAACUCCUACGGGAGGCAGCAGUGGGGAAUAUUGCACAAUGGGCGCAAGCCUGAUGCAGCAACGCCGCGUGAGUGAAGAAGUAUUUCGGUAUGUAAAGCUCUAUCAGCAGGGAAGAAAGGCUCUUCGGAGAGAUGACGGUACCUGACUAAGAAGCCCCGGCUAACUACGUGCCAGCAGCCGCGGUAAUACGUAGGGGGCAAGCGUUAUCCGGAUUUACUGGGUGUAAAGGGAGCGCAGACGGCAGUGCAAGUCUGAUGUGAAAGCCCGGGGCUCAACCCCGGAACUGCAUUGGAAACUGUACAGCUUGAGUGUCGGAGAGGUAAGCGGAAUUCCUAGUGUAGCGGUGAAAUGCGUAGAUACUAGGAGGAACACCGGUGGCGAAGGCGGCUU
rnacentral:rRNA from 1 species